rnacentral:pre_miRNA from 1 species
GAAAUAUAAGAACCCGUCUCUUAACUUUUAACUAAAAAAGUUAAGAACCGGUUCUUAAAUAAGAGUUUUAAGAGCCGGUUCUUAAUUUUUUUAGUUAAAAGUUAAGAGACGGAUUCUUAUAUUCC